rnacentral:rRNA from 1 species
AGCGAACGCUGACGGCAGGCCUAACACAUGCAAGUCGAACGAAGUCUUCGGACUUAGUGGCGGACGGGUGAGUAACACGUGGGAACGUGCCUUUAGGUUCGGAAUAACUCAGGGAAACUUGUGCUAAUACCGAAUGUGCCCUUCGGGGGAAAGAUUUAUCGCCUUUAGAGCGGCCCGCGUCUGAUUAGCUAGUUGGUGAGGUAAAGGCUCACCAAGGCUACGAUCAGUAGCUGGUCUGAGAGGAUGACCAGCCACAUUGGGACUGAGACACGGCCCAAACUCCUACGGGAGGCAGCAGUGGGGAAUCUUGCGCAAUGGGCGAAAGCCUGACGCAGCCAUGCCGCGUGGAUGAUGAAGGUCUUAGGAUUGUAAAAUCCUUUCACCGGUGAAGAUAAUGACUGUAGCCGGAGAAGAUGCCCCGGCUAACUUCGUGCCAGCCGCCGCGGUAAGAC